AGUGAACGCUGGCGGUAGGCCUAACACAUGCAAGUCGAACGGCAGCACAGUAAGAGCUUGCUCUUACGGGUGGCGAGUGGCGGACGGGUGAGGAAUACAUCGGAAUCUACUUUUUCGUGGGGGAUAACGCAGGGAAACUUACGCUAAUACCGCAUACGACCUACGGGUGAAAGCAGGGGAUCUUCGGACCUUGCGCGAUUGAAUGAGCCGAUGUCGGAUUAGCUAGUUGGCGGGGUAAAGGCGCACCAAGGCGACGAUCCGUAGCUGGUCUGAGAGGAUGAUCAGCCACACGGGAACUGAGACACGGUCCAGACUCCGACGGGAGGCAGCAGUGGGGAAUAUUGGACAAUGGGCGAAAGCCUGAUCCAGCCAUACCGCGUGGGUGAAGAAGGCCUUCGGGUUGUAAAGCCCUUUUGUUGGGAAAGAAAAGCAGCAGGUUAAUACCCCGCUGUUCUGACGGUACCCAAAGAAUAAGCGCCGGCUAACUUCGUG
rnacentral:rRNA from 1 species